rnacentral:lncRNA from 8 species
CUCCAAUAAGAGUUCAAUUAUGAUGUUGUUCUGUAUACCCAUGCACUUUGUUAAUUCAUUUGAAUCUUCAACGUGAACUCAGGUCAUAGGGGAAAGGCGUGUUUGAGACGAGGAAGAGAAGCCAUGCCGGAUAAGGCGUGGUUCUCGACAGUAAAGCUGAUGUCAUACAUGCACGAACACACAUACCCCAGUGGACUCUCAGUAGGUUGGCCCGACCAAUCACAGUGAAGGAGACACACCUGCUUGGUGCUUGGUGCAAGGUGAUUGGUUACAUCAUGGAGAGACACUGAGGUAGGGCUGGUAGGUGUACAUGUAAACCAAGCCCUUUACAAACUCAGACUCUUUGCAUUAAGAGCUUAACCAGGUAACAUCACUACCACUUCGGGGGCCCUUUGUCGACGGACAUCAGUGAAACCACUACCUCUGAUGUCUUCCUUCUACAUCAACUGAUCAACUGAUCUCCUGAAUCUCGGAGGCCUCUGCCUUUUGAAUCUGACCCAGUAAUGGAAGAAAUCAUUCAUCGUUCAACAAGAGGAGGAAAGAGGGAAGAGGAAGAAAAAACGCAACAAGACCCGGCAACACAAUGUGCUGGUCUGUCUACUGAAAUGGUGCCUGGCUGAAGACUGGGAGGGAGCAGGGCAUGUCUGUGGGGUUUGCCUUUCAUGGAGCCUUGAAUGACCCGAGAGAGACUGGAUGUGGCUCUCUCUUGGGCUCCAAGGGGAAAUUUGAGAUAUGUCCCCCUCUGCUUUCUCCUUUUACAACUCCUCACUUUUUUAAAAUAACUUUUUUUCUUUACUGCUCUAUUCACAACGCUUGUCUGUCAUCAAGCUGCUGUAGCAACAAAGACCCUGGCUACUUUCCUCUGAUGCUCCUACCUAAACCUUGUAAUUGUCGUCUUACCAGACAAGUUUAGAUCUAGCUACUCUGUCUAAUACUGUCUGGUAAUGCCGUCCAUUACAAGGUGUCUCAUCGCUCUUUCUCUGUCAGUCUCUUGGACAAUCUGUACAAAUGAACUGGUAUUGGGUCAUGUGAUGUUUUUUCACCCCUCAAUGAUUUAAUGGCUUAGAAUGUUUAAAUGCAGGUCCAUUUUUUGUUGUUGAAUUAUGUAUUUGUAUGUAAAAUGUCUUGAACAGAUAUUUGCUAACAGUAUUUUGUUGAUUAUGUUAAUAAAGGUCAUCAACGUUCUUUUGUGCUUUUCAUUAUCAUAUGAAUCAUUAUAAACAGCAUGAGCGAGCGCCCACGAAUUCACACCCACACACACACACACACACACUGAGCGUGGUUCAUGUGUGUGCAACUCACACACACA